rnacentral:rRNA from 1 species
GUGGGGGAUAUUGCACAAUGGGGGAAACCCUGAUGCAGCGACGCCACGUGAAGGAAGACGUACUUCGGUAUGUAAACUUCUAUCAGCGGGGAAGAAGAUGACGGUACCUGACUAAGAAGCCCCGGCUAACUACGUGCCAGCAGCCGCGGUAAUACGUAGGGGGCAAGCGUUAUCCGGAUUUACUGGGUGUAAAGGGAGCGUAGACGGUGAAGCAAGUCUGAUGUGAAAACCCGGGGCUCAACUCCGGGAUUGCAUUGGAAACUGUUUUACUUGAGUGCUGGAGGGGCAAGCGGAAUUCCUGGUGUAGCGGUGAAAUGCGUAGAUAUCAGGAAGAACACCGGUGGCGAAGGCGGCUUGCUGGACAGUAACUGACGUUGAGGCUCGAAAGCGUGGGGAGCAAACAGGAUUAGAAACCCUUGUAGUCC